rnacentral:rRNA from 1 species
UACGUAGGGGGCUAGCGUUGUCCGGAUUUAUUGGGCGUAAAGAGCGUGUAGGCGGCCAGGUAGGUCUGCUGUGAAAACUCGAGGCUCAACCUCGAGACGUCGGCGGAAACCAUCUGGCUAGAGUCCGGAAGAGGAGAGUGGAAUUCCUGGUGGUAGCGGUGAAAUGCGCAGAUAUCAGGAAGAACACCCGUGGCGAAGGCGGCUUUCUGGGACGGUACUGACGCUGAGACGCGAAAGCGUGGGGAGCGAACAGG